CCGCCGGCGACCGGCGCACGGGUGAGUAACACGUAUGCAACCUGGCCGUGACAGAUGGAUAACCGGGAGAAAUCCCGCCUAAUACAACAUAAUGCCGGGAGGGGACAUCCCCUGCCGGUCAAAGGGGGCGACCCCGGUCAUGGAUGGGCAUGCGGCGCAUUAGGUAGUUGGUGGGGCAACGGCCCACCAAGCCGACGAUGCGUAGGGGUUCUAAGAGGAAGGUCCCCCACAUUGGAACUGAGACACGGUCCAAACUCCUACGGGAGGCAGCAG
rnacentral:rRNA from 1 species